rnacentral:rRNA from 1 species
CAAUAGCGUAUAUUUAAGUUGUUGCAGUUAAAAAGCUCGUAGUCGGAUUUUGGCUGAGAACGAACGGUCCGCCGUUAGGUGUGCACUGUUUGGUCUCAGCUUCCUGGUGAGGAGGUGUGCUUCACGGCCACUUAGUCACCGCGGGUACUUUGAAAAAAUUAGAGUGUUCAAAGCGGGCUUACGCUUGAAUAUAUUUGCAUGGAAUAACACCAUAGGACUCCUGUCCUAUUUCGUUGGUCUCGGGACGGGAGUAAUGAUUAAGAGGAACAGUUGGGGGCAUUCGUAUUUCAUUGUCAGAGGUGAAAUUCUUGGAUUUAUGAAAGACGAACUUCUGCGAAAGCAUUUGCCAAGGAUGUUUUCAUUGA